GACGAACGCUGGCGGCGUGCUUAACACAUGCAAGUCGAACGGAAAGGCCCCCAUCUUGGUGGGGGUGCUCGAGUGGCGAACGGGUGAGUAACACGUGGGUGAUCUGCCCUGUACUUCGGGAUAAGCUUGGGAAACUGGGUCUAAUACCGGAUAGGACCAUGGUUUAGUGUCUCAUGGUGGAAAGAUUAUUGUUUUGGUGCAGGAUGAGCUCGCGGCCUAUCAGCUUGUUGGUGGGGUAAUGGCCUACCAAGGCGUCGACGGGUAGCCGGCCUGAGAGGGUGGACGGCCACAUUGGGACUGAGAUACGGCACAGACUCCUACGGGAGGCAGCAGUGGGGAAUAUUGCACAAUGGGAGCAAGCCUGAUGCAGCGACGCCGCGUGGGGGAUGACGGCCUUCGGGUUGUAAACUCCUUUCGUUAGGAACGAAGCCGCACUUUUUUUGGGUGUGGUGACGGUACCUUUGUUAAGAAGCUCCGGCUAACUACGUG
rnacentral:rRNA from 1 species